CCCCCCCCCCCCAUGGGUGCACAAUUCGUUUUUUGCCAUAGCACUACACAGCUGAUUCAAAUAACCAACUCAUCAUCCAGCUUUGAUUAUUUGAGUCAGCUGUGUAGUGCUGGGGCAAAAACCUAAAUGUGCACCCAUGUAGACCUAGUUUGGGAAACCGUGCAGUAGUCCAAACGGUUGUCACAUCCCCAGGUCUCCUCAGGUAACAGCAGGAAGGUUGGUUGGCUCACAACCUCUAUCACUGAUCCUAACACUGUAAUCUGGAGCUGUUCUAACUUGGGGUCAGGAUCAAUCAGAUUCAGCUGAGGACAGCCAGACCGACAGGCAGGCAGAGAGCAAAGAUGAGGAGCGCUCACAAACACACACUGCUGUAGACAAUGAAGGAUGGGGCUGAGUUUCAAACCUAUGCCUGUUCACCGAGUGUAGGAAGGACCCGCCUGGAUGUUACGUCUGGGUGGUGCAACAGGUAUAAUGGGCUGGUCUGACCUAGUGCAUGCUACGUCAGACAUUCAUAGCGUUAUGUCAUAAGCCCAGNNNNNNNNNNCUGAGGUUCUCCAUCUCUACCAGUAGUAACUACAGUACUGAGGCUCCAUCUCUACCAGUAGUAACUACAGUACUGAGGCUCCAUCUCUACCAGUAGUAACUACAGUACUGAGGUUCUCCAUCUCUACCAGUAGUAACUACAGUACUGAGGCUCCAUCUCUACCAGUAGUAACUACAGUACUGAGGCCCCAUCUCUACCAGUAGUAACUACAGUACUGAGGCUGGCUCUCCCAGGGUGGUGACAUUCCCUUCAUGCCAGCCUUGCUGUGUGUGUGGUUCUGGACUAUAACUCAGAUAAUAUAAACCUUUGUGAAAAAGUUGAAGACAGUGGAAACACACACUUUGCUAAGAAUGAAACAGUUGACAUGGACACUCAUUCAGCUGGAUACCUCUCAUUCCAGAAGUAAUUUCCACCUCUCCAUCCCUAAAAGUCAAACACAGGUUUUAAUGGAGAGAGUUUAAUUAAUCUGCAGUGGUUGAUACAUUUGCAGUGUUUAGAUACUACUGCACUGUUGGAGCUAGGAACACAAGCAUUUCACUACACCUGCAAUAACAUGUGUGUGAACAACACAAUUUGAUUUGAUUAAUUUGCAGUGUUUGAUUCAUGUAAGUAAGCGUUUCACGGUCAGGUCUACUCCACCUGUGGUAUUCGGCGCAUGUCACAAAUAACAUUUGAUUUGAUCUGCAGUGUUUGAUUCAUCUGCAGUGUUUGAUUCAUCUGCAGUGUUUGAUUCAUCUGCAGUGUUUGAUUCAUCUGCAGUGUUUGAUUCAUCUGCAGUGUUUGAUUCAUCUGCAGUGUUUGAUUCAUCUGCAGUGUUUGAUUCA
rnacentral:lncRNA from 13 species